rnacentral:tRNA from 1 species
GCCUGGGUGGCUCAGUCGGUUGAGCAUCCGACUUCAGCUCAGGUCAUGAUCUCAUGGUUCGUGAGUUCGAGCCCCGUCUUGGGCU